GGGGUUGUGGCUCAGUGUAGAGCGCUUGCCUAGCAUGUGUGAGGCACUGGAUUCAAUUCUCAGCACCACCA
rfam:Ictidomys tridecemlineatus contig093898, whole genome shotgun sequence.